GACGAACGCUGGCGGCGUGCUUAACACAUGCAAGUCGAACGGAAAGGCCCUGCUUUUGCGGGGUGCUCGAGUGGCGAACGGGUGAGUAACACGUGAGUAACCCGCCCUUGUCUUUGUGAUAACUUCAGGAAACUGGGGCUAAUACCGCAUAGGAGCUCCUGCAGCAUGGUGGUGGUUGGAAAGUUUCGGCGGUUGUGGAUGGACUGGCGGCUUAUCGGCUAGUUGGUGGGGUAGUUGCUUACCAAGGUUGUGACGGGUAGCCGGCAUGAGAGGGUUGCCGGCGACCUUGGGACUGAGAUAGGGCCCAGAAUCCUACGGGAGGCAGCAGGGGGGAAUAUUGCACAAUGGGCGGAAGUCAGAUGCAGCAGCGCUGCGUGCGGGAUGACGGCCUUCGGGUUGUAAACCGCUUUCGCCUGUGACGAAGCGUGAGUGACGGUAAUGGGUAAAGAAGCACCGGCUAACUACGUG
rnacentral:rRNA from 1 species